GACGAACGCUGGCGGCGUGCCUAAUACAUGCAAGUCGAGCGGACUUUUAAAAGCUUGCUUUUGAAAGUUAGCGGCGGACGGGUGAGUAACACGUGGGCAACCUGCCUGUAAGACUGGGAUAACUUCGGGAAACCGAAGCUAAUACCGGAUAAUUCUUUUCCUCUCAUGAGGGAAAGCUGAAAGAUGGCAUCACGCUAUCACUUACAGAUGGGCCCGCGGCGCAUUAGCUAGUUGGUGAGGUAACGGCUCACCAAGGCGACGAUGCGUAGCCGACCUGAGAGGGUGAUCGGCCACACUGGGACUGAGACACGGCCCAGACUCCUACGGGAGGCAGCAGUAGGGAAUCUUCCGCAAUGGACGAAAGUCUGACGGAGCAACGCCGCGUGAGUGAUGAAGGUUUUCGGAUCGUAAAACUCUGUUGUUAGGGAAGAACAAGUACCGUUCGAAUAGGGCGGUACCUUGACGGUACCUAACCAGAAAGCCACGGCUAACUACGUGCCAGCAGCCGCGGUAAUACGUAGGUGGCAAGCGUUGUCCGGAAUUAUUGGGCGUAAAGCGCGCGCAGGCGGUUUCUUAAGUCUGAUGUGAAAGCCCACGGCUCAACCGUGGAGGGUCAUUGGAAACUGGGGAACUUGAGUGCAGAAGAGAAGAGCGGAAUUCCACGUGUAGCGGUGAAAUGCGUAGAGAUGUGGAGGAACACCAGUGGCGAAGGCGGCUCUUUGGUCUGCAACUGACGCUGAGGCGCGAAAGCGUGGGGAGCAAACAGGAUUAGAUACCCUGGUAGUCCACGCCGUAAACGAUGAGUGCUAAGUGUUAGAGGGUUUCCGCCCUUUAGUGCUGCAGCAAACGCAUUAAGCACUCCGCCUGGGGAGUACGGCCGCAAGGCUG
rnacentral:rRNA from 1 species